rnacentral:rRNA from 1 species
AGCCUUUUGUUAUUUUAAUUAGAGGUGUUUUUUGCUCAGUGUUUAUAAAUAGCCGCAGUAAUUUGACUGUGCAAAGGUAGCAUAAUCAUUUGUCUUAUAAUUUAGGACUAGUAUGAAUGGGAUUACGAAAGUUUAGCUGUCUUUUAUUUAGUAUUAUAAGUUGUAUUUAGUGUGAAGAUACAUUAAUUUUUUAAGAAGACAAGAAGACCCUUUUGAGCUUUAUUUUAUUUUUACUUUGUGUUAAUGUUUAAUUUGGUUGGGGCGACCAAGGAAGAAAAAAAGCUUAGUUUUUUAUAAAUCUUCCUUUUUUUUUUUUGAACCAGUAGUUUUGGUCUAUAGAUUAAGUUACCAAAGGGAUAACAGCGUAAUUUUUUUUGAGAGCUCUUAUUAAAAAUAAAGAUUGCGACCUCGAUGUUGACUUAUAGUUUCCUUUU